UCCGGAAUGGUGUAGUGGCUAGCAUUUCUGCCUCUCAAGAUCUGCUGAUACAGCAGGAAAUCUGAUCGCAGGAGACCGGGGUUCAAUUCCCCGUUCCGGAA